UACCGUCGUCUCUGUCCGCGCCAAGCCCAAAAAAAAACUCAUCCUCAGCAACCUUUCUGUUCUCGGUGAAAAGGGCAAGAACAGCUACGACGUCGAGACUCUCAUCAAAUUCUUCUCCACCUGCUCCUCUUCCGUGGAUAGCUUGAGCAGCAACAGCAGCGGAGAUUUCCAACUCACCGAGCCGUCACCACCCAUCGGAUAUCCAUUGCCGCCUGCGAAUUUCACCAAGAAAGCCUUGCUUCUCAAGAGCUUAGCUUUUUUGCAGCUGGCAAUGAUUUUAGGCACUGGAGAAAGAAAAUAGUGAAGAUGGAAAUAAUUCUGAUUCUAGCAGUUAUUCUAAUGAUAAUGAGGACGAAAGGCCGGAGAGCAAAUCUAUCACCACCUCUUGGCCUCAAAGUUACAGGCAGUCCAUCGAUUUAUACAGUAGUGUACCAUCUCCAAGUCUUAACUUCCUGGGGACGCCUACGUUAUCAUGUUUAGGCAGCUCAUGUAUCUCUUAUUCAUUAACAAGAAGAUACACUCCUGAAGUACUCCCUUCUUCGCAAAACCUCUAUUACCACCAGUAGCAGAUGCACGUCGGCCACCAGAAAGGCGUAGUUCACAUUCUCUGCUGCCCUCCAUUCAAGGGAGGCCUUCCUUAAGAAAAGCAACUGCUGACAAGAAAUCAUCCAAGGUCUCACAUGAGGUUUCUCUUCCUAGCCAGAGUUCAUAUGGACAAGCUGUGGUGAAUGGCAUAAAUGUUCUUUGUGGUGUUGGAAUUCUUUCAACUACUUGUGCUGUCAAAGAAGGUGGAUGGGUUGGGCUCUCAAUUCUGUUUAUCUUUGCUGUUGUUUCUUACUACACUGGGAUUCUCCUGCAUUCCUGUUUGGACAGUCAACCUGGGCUCAAGACUUACCCGGAUAUUGGCCAUGCUGCCUUUGGUAAUGUGGGACGUAUUGCUACAUCUGUUUCACUCAUGCCAGAUCCAAAAGCUAGAUCAUAUUUAUGCAGCCUCUUUGUCACUGCUGCUUUGAUUUGUUGCGUAUACUUCAUCGGAACUGCAUUCCUUGCGAAGGAUGACAUGAUAAAUGCUAUUCAUACUAGCUUUUGGAAGAUAUCUAUGGUUAUGGUUGAAGAAUGUUGAAGACAAAAUUGCCUU